CCACUGCAGAAGUGCCACCAGCUCCAGGCUGUGAUAAGAGAGACAGCGUUGUCCUUCAGGCGUAGCUUUUGGUUUGGCCUACUGGACACUGCGAACAAUAUCUGGGAAAAUGAAGGAACAUUGCAAGAAGGAAAAAACUCAAGAUUCCCAAGGCAAGGACUUCUAUUCUAAACAAGCCAAGCUUAAAUGAAAACGUAUCUCAGAACCAACCGAUCACUUGAUUUUGUCAGGACAUAAAUUCAAUGAGUCCUUGGAGUCUCGUGCUUCUCUCUUGUGACUCUUCUCCAAGGCAAGCUUGUCAAAAGCAGACAUUCAGCUUCUCUCACAGUGCCUGGCACAGAGUACGAGCUUAAUAAAUACCAGAGUCACCAAUAUGGUCAAUUUUAAGACAUAAAGGAUAGAGAAAAGAAGAAAAGAAAAGGGAAAGAGAAAGGACCCAAUUCAACUCUUGCAAGAAAAAAUUCAUCUUCCUUAUACCAAUCCCUGACAAGGACAUGUCACUGUUAUGGGUUGAACUGUAUCCACCUCCUCUUCCCAAGUUGGUGAAAUUUCAAAUGACACCUUAGUUAGAAAUAGGGUCUUUGCACAUGGUCAAGUUAAAAUUAGGUCAUUAGAGUGCAUCCUAAUCCAAAAUGAUUGGUGUCCUUAUAGGAAGGCCAUGUAAAGAUAAGACAGAGAUCAGGGUGAUGAAUUCACAGGCCAAGGAAUGCCCACGUUUGCUGCAAUCAACCAAAAACUUAAGAGAGAAGCACUAGACAGAUUCUCCUGAACAGCCCUCAAAUGAAAACCUUGCUUUUGGACUUUUAAAACUGUGAAAGAAGUUUCUACUGCUUCACCCACCUUGUUUAUGGAACUUUAUUAUGGCUGUCCCAGGAAGCUAAGACAGCCAGCACCCAGUCAAUACAAUUAAUACAAAGGAUAACAAGAGAACAGCUGUGAAUUAUAUAACAAAAUUAAUCAGAAAAAUCAAAUAAAAAUUCAGAAGGCAAAUGUAGUCCAAUA